rnacentral:rRNA from 1 species
CCUACGGGAGGCAGCAGUGAGGAAUAUUUGUCAAUGGACGAGAGUCUGAACCUGCCAAGUAGCGUGAAGGAUGACUGCCCUAUGGGUUGUAAACUUCUUUUAUAUGGGAAUAAAACGUUCCACGUGUGGGAUUUUGUAUGUACCAUAUUAAUAAGGAUCGGCUAACUCCGUUCCAGCAGCCGCGGUAAUACGGAGGAUCCGAGCGUUAUCCGGAUUUAUUGGGUUUAAGGGGCGCGUAGGUGGAGUGUUAAGUCAGUUGUGAAAGUUUGCGGCUCAACCGUAAAAUUGCAGUUGAAACUGGCAGUCUAGAGUAAAGUAGAGGUGGGCGGAAUUCGUGGUGUAGCAGUGAAAUGCUUAGAUAUCACGAAGAACUCCGAGUGCGAAGGCAGGUCACUGGACUGCAACUGACACUGAGGCUCGAAAGUGUGGGUAUCAAACAGGAUUAGAUACCCUUGUAGUC